UACAGAGGGUGCGAGCGUUAAUCGGAAUUACUGGGCGUAAAGCGCGCGUAGGCGGCUUUGCAAGUCGGGUGUGAAAAUCCCCAGGCUUAACCUGGGAACUGCAUUCGAGACUGCAUUGCUAGGAGUAUGGGAGAGGGAAGUGGAAUUCCGGUGUAAGCGGUGAAAUGCGUAGAUAUCGGAAGGAACAUCAGUGGCGGAAAAGCGACUUCCUGGACCAAUACUGACGCUCAUGUGCGAAAGCGUGGGGGAGCAAAACAGG
rnacentral:rRNA from 1 species